GUUACCGUGGUGUUAGUGCAGGCGUCGCCGUGGAGACCGGAGGACAGGCAGGGCCUCAGCGGGGAACAGUGUUCUAACAGGAAGGAACCCAGAGGAGGAGAACCGGCCAGACAGAAUCUCAUCGCCAUGUCCACUGGCAUCAUAACCUGCAGAACCCAGAGAAACUCUGCAGGACUUCCCGGUGCAGAAGCCUCCCGGUGCGGAACCUAGAACCUGCAGAACCCGCUUCUUCUUCGUCUUUUUUUGUUCACUUUGUUUUAUUUCCGUCACAUUCUGCAGCCAUUUUAAGCAGAGAAGCCGUUGCUCCACAAGCCCCGCCCCCACAGAGGACAGCAGCAAAUCAGCGCUCAGCUGCGUCAGCUGCUCACCCCUUGGCCAAUCAGAGAGAAGCUAGCGGUCCAGCCGUGACGUUCACCUGAGUCCUGUCAGACCGCACUGAGGGCUCCCCCUUUCUGCAACAGGACCACAGCUUCUCUCUGGGUUCUCUCUGGGUUCUGCAGAACCUGGCUGGAACCAGAGUCACGUGAGCCAGAUGCACAGGACGACUCUCAGAUCAAUUCAUGUUCUUCCCUUUUGAGAAAUGAUAGUAAAGUGCAAAGAAAGCUGGGUUUGAGGACUAAAACCACCAGACUCAGAGACAGCUUCAUCCCACAGGCCCAGGUGGGGGGGCAACACAGGGCACCAGGUGCACACAAUCAACAGCAACAGACAUAACGGGAAGGGGAACACUUUUCAACAUAAAACCAGCAAACAGAGACAGACAACCUAAAACACACACUCUCUGAUGACCUGCAAAAAGCAAAUGAGCUGAAUGACUUUUUCAUGAGAUUUGAAACCCAGGACUUCUCCUCUGAAUGUACAGACAUCUUAGAGACAAUCUCUGCUACUGAACAGGACGCUGAUUGACCCUUUAAAGGUCCCAUCACUUUUUAAACACACCUGUACUAAGAAGGCCACAGGGCCAGAUGGCAUCUCUGCAUUCCUUCUCAAGACAUUUGCAGAAGAACUGACAUCAGCAUGGUGUCCCAUAUUUCAAACAUCUGUUGAUCUUCACACCAUCCCCACCCUCUGGAAAAAAUCAAUAAUAAAACCUGUCCCCAAAAAACCUUGUCCAAAGGUAAACAAUGAUUGUAGGCCUGUUGCAUUGACAUCCAUUGUCCUGACAUGUUUUGAGAGGAUCAUGGUGCCGCUGCUAAAGAAAGAGGUUGAUGUACAUUUAGACCCUUUUCAGAUUGCCUACAAGCAAGGGCAUGGCACAGACGAUGCUCUAAAUAGCAUCACACACCUGGUCACACCUGGAAGACCCUAAGGCAUAUGUACGCCUACUGUUUGUGGAUUUCAGCUCGGCUUUUAACACACUGCAGCCUCACAUCUUGCUUCAACAACGGAUAAAGAUCAGUAUAAAUCCUUUUA